GGGGUGAGUAAUGCCUAGGAAUCUGCCUGGCAGUGGGGGACGAACGUUUCGAAAGGAACGCUAAUACCGCAUACGUCCUACGGGAGAAAGCAGGGACCUUCGGGCCUUGCGCUAUCAGAUGAGCCUAGGUCGGAUUAGCUAGUUGGUGAGGUAAUGGCUCACCAAGGCGACGAUCCGUAACUGGUCUGAGAGGAUGAUCAGUCACACUGGAACUGAGACACGGUCCAGACUCCUACGGGAGGCAGCAGAU
rnacentral:rRNA from 1 species